GCCGGAACGAGCAUCCCCUGCAUUGGAGACAGAGCCCGAGGUGCCUGCAUGGGCAGGGUAGAAGGGAAAGAAAGCUUGUCUGCUCCUAUGGUGCUUGUACUGCAGUGAAGAUGCCUCCUCUAUCCACUUCAGCUUCCUGGGUAACUGUUACCCCAGCUUGGGUCCACCAAUUAGGUCACCGAGGCUCAAGGUGCUGGGAUUCCCAGAGGAGGAAGCAAGGACACGGCUCAGACAUGUCCUUCUCGACUUUCGACAGCAUUUCUACAGGCAAAGAAUGGAGUCUGACAAGAGACCCAGAUAGACUGGAAAGAAAUUAGAAACAAUCGUGGAAAAGAGCAAAUGGCCAUUACUGAAGGCAGAAGCAAUGGCACCUUUGGGGAUAGACCUCUCUAACCAAUUAUUCUGGAAGGCUAUAACAUUAAUUAAAGGGUCAUAAAAAUGAUACAGUACUUACAGAAGCAGAGCGGGGCCCUAGUGAUGUGAAAUUACAUUUUCGAUACAGCAUGUUCCAAGGGGCAGUCAGCUUACUUCUGCAAAACUGUAGUUAGGACCGGGUGGUAAUCACAGAAGAAUAGUGCAUACUACUGCAGUCAUACACUGCUAGGGUCUUGCUUCUACCAGCAAUUUCAUUUAAACAUGGUACUUGGUCUGGUAACCCUACUUCUGAUUAUUACUACAGGGGUCAGAGCAAAAUAGAGUAUCUGGCAACCAAUUAUUCAUAUAAUGUCAUUAAGGAUUAAUGCCUGCUGAAGCCCACAACAGUGGGGUAAUACAAAAAUAAUAUAAAGUGUUGCUGUUGCCAUUUUGAUUUUUAUACCCACUAUGCCACAGUCCCUUCCCAGAGGCUAUUAUCCCACUGCUACUAUAGGCACCAUCUCUCCCUACUAUACCUGCU